AGAGUUUGAUCCUGGCUCAGAGUGAACGCUGGCGGUAGGCCUAACACAUGCAAGUCGAACGGCAGCACAGUAAGAGCUUGCUCUUAUGGGUGGCGAGUGGCGGACGGGUGAGGAAUGCAUCGGAAUCUACUCUUUCGUGGGGGAUAACGUAGGGAAACUUACGCUAAUACCGCAUACGACCUACGGGUGAAAGCCGGGGACCUUCGGGCCUGGCGCGAAUGAAUGAGCCGAUGCCCGAUUAGCUAGUUGGCGGGGUAAAGGCCCACCAAGGCGACGAUCGGUAGCUGGUCUGAGAGGAUGAUCAGCCACACUGGAACUGAGACACGGUCCAGACUCCUACGGGGGGCAGCAG
rnacentral:rRNA from 1 species